ACUUUCUCGGAAACGGAGUCGAUCUACAAUGCUGCCUUGACCUGGAGUAGAAUCGAAGGUUUCAGAUCGCAAAAACCGAGGCAAAAACUUAAUAUCAUCUCGUUCCCUGCA